GACGAACGCUGGCGGCGUGCUUAACACAUGCAAGUCGAACGAUGAAGCCGGAGCUUGCUCUGGUGAAUUAGUGGCGAACGGGUGAGUAACACGUGAGUAACCUGCCCUUGACUCUGGGAUAACUGCUAGAAAUGGUAGCUAAUACCGGAUACGACCCUCGGAGGCAUCUCCAGGGGGUGGAAAGAAUUUCGGUCAAGGAUGGACUCGCGGCCUAUCAGCUAGUUGGUGAGGUAAUGGCUCACCAAGGCGACGACGGGUAGCCGGCCUGGGCGGGUGACCGGGCACGCUGGGACUGAGACACGGCCGCGACUCCUACGGGGGGCGGCAGUGGGGAAUAUUGCACAAUGGGCGCAAGCCUGAUGCAGCAACGCCGCGUGAGGGAUGACGGCCUUCGGGUUGUAAACCUCUUUUAGUAGGGAAGAAGCGAAAGUGACGGUACCUGCAGAAAAAGCACCGGCUAACUACGUGCCAGCCGCCGCCGUAA
rnacentral:rRNA from 1 species